GUCUUAAAUGCCAAAUGUAAUUCAUAUCAGUGGUAACAGCAUUAUUACAAAUGGAAUUAUUUACAAUUGGAGGCAAGGCAACAAUUUUGCUGUCAGACCCAUUGUCAUCAUUACAAAAAUCAGACAAAGCACACACAGAAGUAAAAGAAGAAUCAUGAGAGGAAGAGGGGGAAGAUGGCACCCAAGACAGUUUGUAUAGGCCAGCUUCCUCUUUACCAUCAACAUAGUACCAGCAAAAUUAGCAGCACAUAUGGGAGGAGGAGCUUGAUCACUGGAAUCCCCUAACUCGGUCUGUUGCAACAAGCUCAUCAAUUGAUCAUAGUGAUGUCUGCUCAACCCUGGUAUCACAGAGCUGUGACCAUCUAUGUGUGUAACAUGGUGAUAGCUGGCAGGAGGAUCCCCAAGAGGAACAGACAUAUUAAGAUUCCCAUGAUUAACAGACACACAUUCCUCACCAGUGGAGACAUGAGCAGCUGCAGAUUUCCUUCCCUUGUUGUAAUUUAUGUUUUGAGGAUAUGUGUGUAACAUGGUGAUGGCUAGCAGGAGGAUCCCCAAGAGGAACAGACAUAUUAGGAUUCCCAUAAUUAAUAGACACACAUUUCUCACUAGUGGAGACAUGAGCAGCUGCAUAUUUCCUUCCCUUGUUGUAAUUUAUGUUUUGAGAAAACCCAUGAAUCUUGUAGCACUUAUCAAUUAAGUGCCCAGAUUUCUUGCAGUAUCUGCAAAAUAAGGGCCCUCUGCUUUGUUCAAAAUUAACUCUGGGUCCUUCCCUUGUUGUAAUUUAUGUUUUGAGAAAACCCAUGAAUCUUGUAGCACUUAUCAAUUAAGUGCCCAGAUUUCUUGCAGUAUCUGCAAAAUAAGUGCCCUCUGCUUUGUUUAAAAUUAACCCUGGGUCUGAAAAUAGGGGGUCUAGGCACUGUGGCCUGAUUAAACCCAACCGAGUGCUUGUUUGCAUUAGCAUUAAAGACAUAGAGUCUGGACUGAUUUGAGAAAUAGAUUGAACUUGUCUCUGUUUCUCAUCAUUAAGCACUAUAUUGUAAACAUUGUCAAGGGAAGGAAAUGGCUGCAUCAUCAACAGAUUACUCCUGACCCCCAUGUAUGCUUUAUUUAACCCCAUAAGAAACUGGAAUACCUUGUUUUCAUCAUCUUCCUCAAUUCUUCCAUUUUUAGCAGCACACACACAUCUCUGCCCAUGAUUUAUGCACAUUGUGACCAACUCAUCCCACAGGCCCUUGAGCUUGUUAAAAUAUGAGGCUACGUCUAAGCAGCCUUGAGAUGUGUGGGAAAGUUCCCUUUUUAAUUCAAAGAUUUUGGUCUUGUUAGGGGUACCAUAUCUUUUCUCAAUUUGGGACCAUAUACUCUGUGCAGUAUCGGAAUACUGCACACUAUAAGCAAUCUGAGGAGACAGGAAGAAAUCAACCAGGAAAUGACCAUGUUAUUACAUCUAUCCACAGCCUCUGUUGAGCCACAUUAGUGGUAGGUCGAGGACAUGAGCCGUCAACAAAUCCGAUUUUGUUUUUAGCAGAUAAUGCAACAAUCAUUUUUCUCCUCCA
rnacentral:lncRNA from 1 species